GGCGUAGCUCAGUCGGCAGAGCAGCCGCCUUGUAAGCGGCAGGUCGUGGGUUCGAUUCCCUCCGCC
rnacentral:tRNA from 1 species